UCACUACUUGCGUAGGCAGUCUGGCUAGAGUCCCCACCAUUACGUGCUGGUAACUAACCACAGGAGUUGCGCUCGUUGCGGGACUUAACCCAACACCUCACGGCACGAGCUGACGACAGCCAUGCAGCACCUUCGCCGGCGCCCCGAAGGGAAGCUCCCUUUCAGGAGCGGUCGCCGGAGAUUUAGCCCAGGUAAGGUGGGGAUGACGUGGUACACCUGAAC
rnacentral:misc_RNA from 1 species